GUGGUGCAGCCAGUAUAUCAUAUAGCGUUGGGGCUGGGAGGGAUUUCAGAGGUUUUUAUCCUCAAGACCAAGCCUGGACUCCAGUUCCCUGCCUGACCACCUCAGCCCAGGCUCUCUCACUUCCAUUCUGCCAUGGAAGCUUGGGCCAGCUACUGGAGCUGGGAAAUCUCGCUUUGUGGCCUCCAUUCAUGUUCAGGGGACUGGAGGGCUGUGUCUGGGGUUGCUUUUGGGGUGAGAUCUGUUGUACGUGGAUCUUUGUUAAUUCUUUCUAGUGAGAUGAGUGCAGUGGUAUGGCCUGGUUGGGGGGAUUUAGGCUGGAGGAGAAGGCUUGAACUGGUCAGGACCUGACUGUCUGUGAUCAGCAGCUCCCUGAAGCCCCCCAUUCUGACUCUCCUGUUUUCUCUGCAGCCUUAACUCCAUUGGCCCUAGUGGGUGAGCAGCAUGCAGCACCCAUCAGCCUACCUGGCAUCCUCUGGAGUGCUGCCCAGUUCCCCCAGGAGGCCCUGACGCCCUGGGGCACUUCUGCUCUGUGCAGGACCACGUGGGGAUUUGCCAUGGUGACAUAAAGGGGCAGAGGAAGGAAGGAUCAAGACCAGCCUGCAGACUGUGCCCCUGGCUGGGAGGAAGGGCCAGGGGCACUGGUCCUCCACUCCGCUGCCCACUAAGGGCCUUGCUUCCAAAGUCUCUGUGAAUUUCUUGGUCAGUGAACAACUCUUGUAUCUCUGUGUGGGGCCUUGGGGUAGCCAGGGCAGGCUAGGCCUCCGGUGGCCAAGGUCUCGGGGGCCACAAUGCCUGCCCUGGCGUGCCUCCGGAGGCUGUGUCGGCACGUGUCCCCACAGGCUGUCCUUUUCCUGCUGUUUGUCUUCUGUCUGUUCAGCGUUUUCAUCUCAGCCUACUACCUAUAUGGCUGGAAGCGAGGCCUUGAGCCCUCGGCUGACGCCCCUGAGUCCGACUGUGGGGAUCCACCACCUGUGGCCCCUAGCCGCUUAUUGCCACUCAAGCCUGUGCAGGUGGCCACCCCUUCCCGCACGGAUCCACUGGUGCUGGUGUUUGUGGAGAGCCUCUAUUCCCAGUUGGGCCAGGAGGUGGUGGCCAUCCUGGAGUCCAGCCGCUUCAAGUACCGUACAGAGAUUGCACCAGGCAAGGGGGACAUGCCCACACUCACUGACAAGGGACGUGGCCGCUUUGCCCUCAUCAUCUAUGAAAACAUCCUCAAGUAUGUCAACCUGGACGCCUGGAACAGGGAGCUGCUGGACAAGUACUGUGUGGCCUAUGGCGUGGGCAUCAUUGGCUUCUUCAAGGCCAAUGAGAAUAGCCUGCUGAGUGCGCAACUCAAGGGCUUCCCCCUCUUCCUGCACUCGAACCUGGGCCUGAAGGACUGCAGCAUCAACCCUAAGUCUCCACUGCUCUAUGUGACACGGCCCAGUGAGGUGGAAAAGGGUGUACUGCCUGGCGAGGACUGGACAGUGUUUCAGUCGAACCAUUCCACCUAUGAGCCAGUGCUGCUGGCCAAGACGCGCUCAUCUGAGUCCAUCCCACACCUGGGUGCAGACACCAGCCUACAUGCUGCACUGCACGCCACCGUGGUGCAGGACCUGGGCCUCCACGACGGCAUCCAGCGCGUGCUGUUUGGCAACAACCUCAACUUCUGGCUGCACAAACUCGUCUUUGUGGAUGCAGUGGCCUUUCUCACGGGUAAACGCCUCUCGCUGCCUCUGGACCGCUACAUCCUGGUGGACAUUGACGACAUCUUCGUGGGCAAGGAGGGCACACGCAUGAAGGUGGAGGAUGUGAAGGCCCUGUUUGAUACGCAAAAUGAACUACGCACACACAUCCCAAACUUCACCUUCAACCUGGGCUACUCAGGGAAAUUCUUCCAUACAGGUACUGAUGCCGAGGAUGCUGGAGAUGACCUGCUGCUGUCCUAUGUGAAGGAGUUCUGGUGGUUCCCCCACAUGUGGAGCCACAUGCAGCCUCACCUGUUCCACAAUCAGUCUGUGUUAGCUGAGCAGAUGGCCCUGAACAAGAAGUUCGCUGUCGAGCAUGGCAUUCCCACAGACAUGGGGUACGCAGUGGCACCCCACCACUCGGGUGUGUACCCUGUGCAUAUGCAGCUGUAUGAGGCCUGGAAGCAGGUGUGGAACAUCCGUGUGACCAGCACAGAGGAGUACCCCCACCUGAAGCCAGCCCGCUACCGCCGCGGCUUCAUCCACAACAGCAUCAUGGUCCUCCCUCGGCAGACCUGUGGCCUUUUCACACAUACCAUCUUCUACAAUGAGUACCCUGGUGGCUCCAGUGAGCUGGACAAAAUCAUCAAUGGGGGCGAGCUCUUCCUCACCGUGCUUCUCAAUCCUAUCAGCAUCUUCAUGACACACUUGUCCAAUUAUGGGAAUGACCGCCUGGGCCUGUACACGUUCAAGCACCUGGUGCGCUUCCUGCACUCCUGGACCAACCUGCGGCUGCAGACACUGCCUCCGGUGCAGCUAGCCCAGAAGUACUUCCAGAUCUUCGCUGAGGAAAAGGACCCACUCUGGCAGGACCCUUGCGAGGACAAACGCCACAAAGACAUCUGGUCCAAGGAAAAAACAUGUGACCGCUUCCCAAAGCUCCUCAUCAUCGGCCCCCAGAAAACAGGCACCACAGCCCUCUACCUGUUCCUGGGCAUGCACCCGGACCUAAGCAGCAACUACCCCAGCUCAGAGACCUUUGAGGAGAUCCAGUUUUUUAACGGCCACAACUAUCACAAAGGCAUUGACUGGUACAUGGAGUUCUUCCCCAUCCCCUCCAAUACCACCUCGGACUUCUACUUUGAGAAAAGCGCCAACUACUUUGAUUCAGAAGUGGCGCCCCGGCGGGCAGCUGCCUUGCUGCCCAAAGCCAAGAUCCUCACCAUCCUCAUCAACCCAGCGGACCGGGCCUAUUCAUGGUACCAGCACCAGCGGGCCCAUGAUGACCCAGUGGCCCUGAAGUACACCUUCCAUGAGGUGAUCACAGCUGGCACUGAUGUGUCUUCCAAGCUGCGGGCCCUCCAGAACCGCUGCCUGGUCCCCGGCUGGUAUGCCACCCACAUUGAGCGCUGGCUCAGCGCCUUUCACGCCAAUCAGAUUCUGGUCUUGGACGGUAAACUGCUUCGGACAGAACCUGCCAAAGUGAUGGACACGGUGCAGAAAUUCCUUGGAGUGACCAACACCAUUGACUACCACAAAACCUUGGCGUUUGAUCCAAAGAAAGGAUUCUGGUGUCAGCUACUUGAAGGAGGAAAAACCAAGUGUCUGGGCAAAAGCAAGGGCCGGAAAUACCCGGAGAUGGACUUGGAUUCCCGAGCCUUCCUGAAGGACUACUACCGGGACCACAACAUCGAGCUUUCCAAACUGCUAUACAAGAUGGGCCAAACGCUGCCCACUUGGCUGCGGGAGGACCUCCAGAACACCAGGUAGCCUCAGUCACCAAAACCUGAUCGAACGCUUAUGACGGCAGGAAAUGCCCCGCCUGCCUCGCGCUGAGCCAGACUGACCUUCAGAGAGAGGAGCUGGGCCUGGGCUGGCCAAGCACUAUGAGCAAUACUCUGCUGAGGCCCACAAAGGGCCAGGAGAAGCCUGGGCAGGUCUGCAAGCGCCUCAGAGCAUCCACUGCUGGAUCUGUGGCCUACAGGACCUCUCUGGCACCAGAGGUCCAUUCUGUUCACAGCCUCCCUGGGGAGGCCACUUCUUGUUGGUGGAAGGCCAGUUCCUGGUGAGAGAGGUUCCACGAGACUCUCUCUCCUGUCCCUCACUGUGUUCUACAAACCAUGCCCCCUUCUUUGUCCCACCACUCCCUGCUUCAGCAGGGUAUCUCCUCAGUAUUAGCUGCCAUAUUUCUCUGUUCUCUAGACAAUAAGGGAAAAGAGCCCAGAUGGGCCUUUUGCCAAACUAGGGAGAGAGACCAGACUUCCAAGUGUGUUUCGAGCCAGGCCCUUCCAGGGGUCAGCUGGGCACUCAGAAGCAGUCGCUGGGCCGGAUGUGAGGGUGGCCACCUCAAGAGAGGGCAGAACUUCCACAUUUAGGUUAAUACUGUCACAUCUUACCUUCCUUUUGUGGGAAAGACUCUGUGGUUAUUACAGUAUCUACCCAGUGCUCAAGGUCUCCUACAGGGUCCUAGGGCACUGCCAUGCCACUGGGCCCAGAGACUUAUGGCUGCCCCCUUUCUUCACCCCAGAUGUGACAUGUGGUGUUUCCUGUGGUGAAAGGCCGAGGAGGUCAGGAGUCGGCCAGCGUCCAUGCUCCCAUGUACAUACAUUGUCCCAUAUCCACUCCCUCGGUCCUGCAGACACGGCAGAGAUGGCAGACUGCUGUCCAUUGCUUUGCCCCAGUGACCUGUGGCCGAGGGUCCCCAGAGGACCCCCCCCCCUUAACUUCCCAAAUACUAAGAAGCUAAAGUAUUUUAAUAUUUUUUUUUUCUUGGUGCCAGAGUUUAUACCCUGGGUGCUGGGGUCGCACUGUGUUUUAUAUAUAUAUAUAUAUAUAUAUAUAUAUAUAUAUAAUGUGUAUAUAUAUAUAUUAUAUUUUUUUGGUUGGGUUUGUUUUUAAUUCAGUUGUACACAAUGGUGGCAAGCCCCAGCCUCAAAGGGUAUCAUAUCUUAGUGCUAGAGAAUGAGGUAGGAAGGAGGGAGGGUGCGAGUUCAUGUGUCUGAGCCUCAAGGAGGCAGUACAAAGGUGCACCUUGUCUCUGCUCCCUCUCCCAAGUGCUACAGCUGUCCUGGGGCUGCUCCAGGGGAACAGAGGUGGUGACAUGAACAAGGAAGACCAACUCUCUCCAGGAAAUCUGGCUUCAUUUAGCUCAGUGACCAUGGGGGGUUUGGCCAAAGGGAAGAGCCAGGGUGAGGGUUGGAGAGCUGGAACCCAGAGCUGGCCCAUCCCUCUCCCCUCACAUGGUGCUAGGUUGGGAGCUGCCCUGGGAGUGGGAUGCCCACUGGGACCUGCAGAGCUGUCUCCAGGCCCCCUGCAGACACCGGAUCUCUGGGCUGUUUUCUUCUUGGGUUCUGCUCCUGCCCCCAACCCCUUUUAACAAUGUGAAAUGACUGAGGCUGGAGUGUCUUUCCUUGGCCCCCUCAACUGCCAAUUCAACUUCCACCAGACACCCAGGUCAUUAUUUCUGGAGAGGCUUGUCCUAUUCAGAAGCCUGGCAUUUUAGGCUUGGAAGGGUUCUUCAGCAGGUACAAAGCAGCCCCAGGAAGGGGAGUGGCCUGGUUGGCCCAUGUCACAGAGCUGGUUGGAAGCAGGGCCAAGAGUUGAACUCAGGGCCCCCAAUUCUGAGUCCAGUGCUCUUCUUCCAGUGCCACACUGCCUCUGAGCCCGCCCUUGAGACCCUACACUAUGCCAGGUUCCUAUCCUUCCCUCAGUCACAGCCGUGGUCAUUCCAGGAUAUGGGGACAAACCACUCCUUCCCAGCCAGUUCCCUUUUGCCGAAGAUGUACCUCCUCUGUCACCUGCAGCAGUGCCAAAC